AAGCCCCAACUCGAACCCGACUCCACAAACCUAACCAGUGGCUGCCGCCGUCACCCCCGUUCUCGAUCCACAAUCCUACCGCCGGCCUCGCGCUCCACUCCGUCGUCAAGCGUCGUGUCAGAGCUAGCAUUCCCCCGCCCCAGAGCUCCACCCCGACAUGCAUCCACCCAUCCUUGCGCUCCACCCCUCCCCCCCCCCCCCCGAGCUCCAUCCCGAGACCAAGCCGCCGUCCUCGGGCCGCCCCCUCGACAUCCAGUUGUUGUCCUUGCCAAUCCCCAUCCCUGCUGCUGCCAAGGCCCCAUCUCCCGGCUCCCGCUGAUGCCGCACCUGCUAUUGCCGAGGCUCCAUCUUUGGGCCCUUCGAGCUACGCCCCUCUUGAAGCCAGCCAUCGCCGUGCCCUGAGUGUUAUACAGGUGGAUAGUUGUUCAACAAAAUGAUAUCUGAACUUCAAGCUGGUACCAUAAAAAAAUUUACUUCGGUGUUCUGAAGUUUAUCAAUAAAGUGUAAUAUAUUUGACCAUUAGCGACACCCUUCACCAUAAGGCAUAGAUGUACCAAUGAUGUUAUUUCUUGAAGCCAAUUUGAAAUUUUGUAUCUCUUGUGAGUAGCAAGUAGACUGCUCAGGUUGAUCUUAUUUGUAUAUCUUGGAAUUGUUUCCUGGUUGAUAUAUUGGAAGAGCAUUGUUAGUCCAGAAUUAAUCAGUAUAAUUCAGUUUGGUUCAGUUCAGGACAUAUUAAGUAUGCUUUAGAACAAAUAAUCAAAAUUAUCUGUUAUGAAGAACAUAUUAGGCUUGUGUUUUCAAUCUCCCUGUACUUCUAUGGUUCCAAAUCUUCUCCUAUAGUUUUAUUGUCUUAACUGCUUGUAGAACUGUACUGCAAGUUAGUUUAUUAUUGAAGAAAAAAUCAUUUAUUAUGAUGUUGUCAGCUUGUGCUUAAUUUUGUGAUUGCUAAAGGCAAGGAAAAGAGAUGGUGCAGAAGGAGCUUCAGCAGGCAUGAUGGUUCGUUAACCACAAUGUCGCAAGGCCAUCCCCAUGGCUUGGUAACACUAUUUCAGGUUUGCCUCUCGCUCCCUACCCAGCCACCCUGUAGUGGAUGUUAUUAUUUUGGUUACUCCAUGGACUGAUUGGUUGCUGUUGUGGUUACUCCAUGGACUAAUAUGACCUUCAGCGAAACCAUUACUUUUACAAAAUUGCCUACCUUUGUUCUAGCAUAUUAAAUUUUAUCAGCAUGCUCGAGUGCCUAAACAUUGUUCUGUCGGAACAUUAUUUUUGUUUCUGCCGUCAUGAUAUGUGUGAAGUUUCAAAUGACUGGAGAUCUCACCAAUGGUCAUGGCUCCAAAACUUCCAUUUGUUCUAUUCAUAUGCUUAUCCUAUUUUUUAGGUAAUGGAAGAUGGUUCCUCAGUCUCUGCAUCGUUCCAUGAUUUAUAUUGCCCGGACUUUUUAUUUCUUUGUGGCUUGAUCUGGGAUCCUACUUUGUUAUACAAGCGCCUGCUAGUCAGUGCUUUGCCAUUGUUUUUAUUGGGAUCACUCUGCAUAUAAGAAUGUUUUUACAUACUGCAUUAUGCUCUAUCUACAUUGUAAUUUGACAUGUCAUCCUUGACAGUUACCUCUAUCUGUCUCAAGCUUAUAUUGUAGAAAUUAUGUUUUUGUUAAUUAUUACUAUAUAGUAUUCUUUCACUGUUUCAGAUAAAACCAGAAUGUUAUUUUUGGACUUAGUAGUUUUAGGUUAUUACAUAUAGUUGUCAUAAUUACAAUGCCCGAUGAGAAACAAAUUACUAGUUCAUUUAGUCUUGCCGACAAUAGCCGGGAACCACGACCACCAGCAUGCAGCAUGAGCAAUGGGUAGAGAAUGGAUGACUACCUCACUGGGAAACAUGGUCGCACACGUGCAGCAGAAAAUGAAUGGUGCAUGGAAAGGCCACCUCACUGGAACUAGGGCCACGACUUGUAGUGGGCAACUACUAGGCACUUAGCCAACUGGUGCACAUGGACGUGAUGACUUUGCAGUGUUUAUGGACCAACCAACCUGUAAUCAUGGGUCUUAUGUCUCUUCAAGACAAUUUGAUGUUUCAGGUAUUUUGGAGCUUGCACUCUGUGCAUGUGGAUACAUACUUGUUUGUUCUGGAGCUAGACCAUCUAGCUAAAGUCUCCCGUACCAGCAAAUAGUGCUCAUCCUUUUGUGACUUGUGUGUUCUGGAGCUAGACCAUCUAGCUGAAGUCUCUCGUACCAGUAAAUAGUGCUCAUCCUUUUGUGACUUGUGUGUUCUGGGUGAUUGUUAAGAUGGUCAAAACUAUGCUUUGUCAAGAUUGUUGUGUU